UCCAAAGCAAUGAAUCCCUUUUUUAGAUGCUUUGGGGACACAGCUGAAGUGUGAGUGAGAUCUCCAAGCAUGGAUUUUCCUGAGGAAUUUUAUUUCUUCCUAAAGGAGAGUGAGAAUAGGUUUGCACACAUACUGGAAGAAAAGAUGGGGGGAAGUGAGGGAACUCCAGGCAGAGUUGAAAACAAUGUUCUCCAGAAGACAAGAACAGAAGUGUCUCCCUUCUUUGCAGUCAAGUGAUAUGGUGCAAGUUUCCUCAGGCUCUGAGACCCUCUUCUUCCUCCUUCUCCUCCUCCUCGACCAUGUCGUUGCUUAGGAAUGCUUCUUCGGGAACCCUCAGAGAAAGAGACUGGAAAGAAUCGAGAAUCAAGGCAAGAAUUGAGACAGUUGUGGCAGAAAGAGGUACCACAAGCCCCUCAAGAGGCAUUGUGGCCAGAAGUGUGAAAAUUCACCUAACAUCCUCAUUUGGUCAUAGUGAUAGGGAGGGGAGAAUUUUGUAGUGAUGGUGAAUUCUUGCUUUUAUUCUGAUGGCAUGCAGGCGUGCAAGAGCCUGAGAAAUAUGGAUUAUUAAGGUUUAGAAAAAGCAAAGAACAUAACGUAGGACAAGAGGCACUGCCUCUCCUUGGUUCUUCCUUCCUCAAUGUCUCAAGGCUGCUUCUUAGAAAUUUUGGCUUUUCAAGACUGUUCUUGAUACCUAUCGAUUUUUCAAUAGGUAAUUAAUGAGCUAUGCAGAGGAAAAGUACAUACGACUUGACAUCGACUUUAAACCUUUUGGUUUAUGAUAUGCUUCCUCUUGAACAUUUUAAAAAUGCAUUUCCUUGCUAUCUACAAAUUGAAAAUCUCGUAAUAGAUACUGCAAAGCAGGCAUCCAUGAAUAAGAUACGGUCCCUGACCGGAGGAGCUAACAACACUAGAGAUGGGAGAGAAAAUGUAUUCAGAGCUGCUGCCAUAGAAGGCUGAUUGUGGUACGUUCUGUUGGGAUAUGGAUGCUGUGGAGCUUGUCCUCCAUCCCUUGCGUUUUGUAGCUGCUCAGCAGAUGGGCUGAAUGAGUGAAGGAAGUCCUUCCAGCAGAGACAAUACCUGCUACAUGCAAGGCCGAGGGACAGGAGAAUACUGAGCAAGAUCACGACUGGAGAGGAUUGAAGGCCUUAUCCUUAUUAUCUUCAUAUAUUCAUGAAGAGCACACAUAAUUGUCAGAGUGGAGACUCCACCGGGGGUUUCAGGAGACGUGGUUGCCUGUAAUGAAGUGUGCAUGAACCAGUCCUCUGGUUAGAAGCGUCUCACUGGAGGGCUGCAGAGAAAGUCUGGGAGACUGGAAAUUAUUAUAAGAGUUUGCCGACAAUCCCUUUUGUGGGAAGACUGACAACUGGAACAAAAAGAAGGAUAAAAUGAGUUUCAAAAUUUUCAAAACGCUUCAAAACUUGAUGACAAUGAUCUUGAGAAUGCAGAAUGUGGUCCUGCUUAUGGAGAAAUAUGUGUGAGAAUGCUUAUAAAUGAAUUAAAAAUCUGGAAGUAUUCCAGUAACCUGCUGAAAAUCAUUACCUCUUUUGGAAGUGAGAUCAUACAAGGAGUUCUUAUAUUAUCUGUAUGGCUUGAAGAUAUAACAAUAAGGAAAAAGCAUAAUGAUAUUUUCAUUAGAAAAAUAAUUCAUCACUAAAUCAGCUUUACAAGAGGACAUGUUCAAAGAGAGAAUAUAGCUUGCUCACAGACAUACAUUAUCACCAGCCCUGUGAGUGGAGGCUAGGGAAAUCUCCCCAAAUGAAUAAUUGUGCACUGCCUGCUUAAUGAUAAAUGAGCAUACUCCUCAUCACUCCAAUCACUCCAAUGUGAGAGAAGCAUACAUUUCAUUCUAAAAAUAUAGGUAAAAUUAUCAAAGUGAAAAUGUAUUCCCUGGGGGAAUAGAGAUAAGAAUGCUGAUGCUCACGAAAGUGCUGUUGCUUGUGGAUUUGUAAAGCUGAUGGAAUACUGAUGUUUACAUUAAGAACAGCUUGCAAUUGUAUUGGAAACAAAUGCUUACCCUUGCAUUACUGAAAUGAAGACAUAUGCAAUAAAAAUGGUCUGCAUAGGGACAUAAAGAUGCAUAACAAUUAUUAUCCUAGUGAGAAUUUAACAGCAUGAUUAUGAAAUUCCAAGUUUCAAUAGACAAUGAGAAUAGGAAGCAUUGCCAUUGCAAUAAGCAAUAAUAUUAGAUAUUAAAACAUACAAGCAAAAAGAUUCCAAUUUAGCUAGCCUAAAUGAUACAAAAUAUUUCAUUAUAUAACAAUCUAAAAAAUACUGAUCUUUAUAUAUAUAUAAAUAAUUUAAAUCAUCCUAAUAAAUUAUGAUGACACAGAAGAACGGAAGUUGACUUGAAACACAGGAUCUUCAAAUUUUGACUUCUUGGAGCCCUCUCCCCCAUCUUCUCCGGAUUAUCUGAUAAGUUUCCCAACAGUAUUUGUAAAAAGACAACAGGGUCACCUGUUUUAUUACCAGGAGCAUUUUAUUCUAAACCUCAAUGUCAUUUUUUGUGAUGUUUAUCUAGAUUUGAAGUAGAAUGAAACUGUGCCCUUUUAAUCUUAGUAUCAGCAAACUUUUCAUGGGUAUCAGUGCAAAAACAGCACUCUGUAAAUAUCCUUUAAAUAAUGUAAAUAGGCCGGCACCGCAGCUCACUAGGCUAAUCCUCCACCUUGCGGCGCCGGCACACCGGGUUCUAGUCCCGGUUGGGGCGCCGGAUUCUGUCCUGGUUGCCCCUCUUCCAGGCCAGCUCUCUGCUGUGGCCAGGGAGUGCCGUGGAGGAUGGCCCAAGUGCUUGGGCCCUGCACCCUAUGGGAGACCAGGAGAAGUACCUGGCUCCUGCCAUCGGAUCAGCGUGGUGCACCGGCCACAGGGCAUCGGUCGCGGCGGCCAUUGGAGGGUGAACCAACGGCAAAAGGAAGACCUUUCUCUCUCUGUCUCUCUCUCACUGUCCACUCUGCCUGGCAAAAAAAAAAAAAUGUAAAUAUAAGAUAUAAUAUUUAAAGAUCAAUAUUUCUUGUUUCUUGUCAAUUUAAAGGACUAUACAGGUUUUUAUCUUUCACCAAAGUAGUGAUACCUGGAUACUUGACUCUACAACGAAAAUACCUUGAAAUACCAGUCAUGAUGCACAGCCACUUGCUUUAUUUUCUUCAGUCUUUUGCAAAAUUAAAGUAGAAAAUUCUAAUGUACCAAUAUAGUUCUUUAAAAAUGGGAUCAAGGGUUUGGUGAGUCUCUGAGAUAAUUAUGAUAUAAACACCCAAGCAGAUCCCGGGAAAGAUGGAGAGAUAUUCCAGUGAGGUGACUUUAACAUCCUGUCACAUACCAUUCUGGAAUGCCAUAUCCAAAGCUGGAAGGCUGAAUGUUUUACCUUGAGAGACUGCAGGAAAUGGAUUAAUUAUUUACUCUAUAGUUAUGGAUACAGUGUCUUGUAUAGAUAUAAGAAUUUAUAUUCUGCUGUGACAUCUAGAUGUAUUUCUAGAAGGUGCUCAAUUGUCUGUUAUUUAUUGUUCUGAUGGGAAAAUAAAACUCAUCAAAUUCUGAGAAAGAUCCAAAUUCCUGAUGUCAAGCUGCCUUCACCAUAAUUCAGUCUUCUUAACAUCAUAGUAUGAUAUAUUUUCCUAAACAUUAAAAGUUAUAUCUUAUCUUGGGAUGCUAGAUUCAACCUGUUCAGGCAAUGACAAUAAUGCUGAAACAUUCCAUUUGAGCAAGUCACUUAACAUUGUGGAGAUGGUCUUCAUUUUAACCUUGAAUUCACCACUCCUUGUAAAGCCCUUCUGCCCUUGAGAUGGCCAGCUUACCUAUUGAGAGAGUCUCCCAGUGGCUGCUUAUUUCUCUGAACAGCAGGCUGAAAAGACAUGCUCUCAGGAUCGCAAUAGAAUCAUAGUCACAGGUUUCACAAUUUCUUUCAACACUGCAUCAGGAUCAGGAGGUACAUUGGUGACUGCCACCUGCUUCCUGUGAACACACAGCAUGGGGACCGGCAUUGCGCAGCCUCUUGUUCUGCUUCUAGUAAAGCUGGUUUUUGCUGCACACAGAGCUGGGGCGCCUUCAGCUCUGACCCCCACGCACCAUUUCCUGUCUACCUCAUAGCUCACAAAACAGGUGUAAUCUAAAUGAGAAAUCUCCCUCCUGUAAUGUGUUUUCAGGGAGAAGCAAAAUAAGAAGUCAGUGGAUAUUUUUCCUUAUUUAAAGUGUAUUUGCCAAAAGCUGAUCUACAUUCUGCAUAAGAAAUGCUUUCAUCUCACUGUAAAGUGCAGCAUUUCCCAGCAGGCCCAGGGGAUGCUGACUGCUCAAUCACAUCACAUGCUAUUGAGAAUAUGAAACAUCUAAAAGGUGCCAUUUGCCAGGUUUUCCAAUGACUCAUUCUUGUCUCCAAAUAAAAGAUUAUUAAUGACUUUGUCUCUGGUUUUACAUACUUCCUGGAAAUAGAGUAUCUUAUUCCAAUUUUUGGCAUAUAUAAUAAAAAAUGACUUAUUGUGAUACCGAGUGAUUUAGGCAUAUAGGUAAUUGGCCCAUAUCUAACUCUGAUAAUAAAAUUAAUCAAUUUUCUACUCAAAAUGCUAUUUGGUGUUCACUCAAAAGAAUCCAAGUGGUGUACCAGAGAGGCUACUGUUCUCUGUUUCACAAUGACACGAGAUCACAUGGCUUCAUGCCAUUAUUUUAUCACUGAUAUCAUUUUAAAGAUUUAUUUCUAUUUAUUGGAAAGGCAGAGUGACAGAGAGAGAGGGAGAGACAGAAAGAGAGAGAGAAAUCUUCCAUCUGCCAAUUCACUCCCUGGAUGGCCACAAUGGCUUGGCUAGGCCAGGCUGGAGCCACAAGUCUAGUGGCAGGGACCCAAGCUCAUGGACCAUCUGCUGUUGCUCUCCCAGGAGCCUUAGCAGGAAGUUGGAUCAGAAGUGGAAUAGCUGGGGAUUCUAAUCGGUGCUCUGAUAUGUGCUUCAACGCCAUUAAUGCCAGCUUCAAAGACAAUGGAACUGGGAGCAGGGACCAAAUGGAUCACUUUUUCGGUAAUGUCUAAUUUUCAAAUAUUUGCUAUUUACUUCCUAUAUGCAUUUCCUUUUCCAGAUGCAUGUGCAAAAUCAUCACCCCCUCAAAUUCUCUUGAAUUUUACUUGUUCACUUUUUGAAUGACUCUUCCAAUGUUUUAAUGACCCACUAUGGAGCCAAUAUUGAAGUAAGAAUAUAAUACAGAGGCUGGCAUUAUGGUCCAAGCACAUGGGCCCCUCCACCUACAUGGGAGACCCUGAUGGAGUUCUAGGUCCCUGGCUUCAGCCUGGCCCAGCCUCAGCCGUCACAGCCAUUUGCGGAGUGAACCAGCAGGUGGAAAGUCUCUCUUGUCUUUCUGCCUUUCCCUCUCUCUUUGUAAGUCUGCCUUUCAAAUAAAAAUUUUUUAAAAAAAUGAAUGUAAUGAAAACAGGAAGAAUAAUUAAAACUCAAUUUUAUUGAAACAACAUGAAAAAUAAUAGGGAAAUAUUUUUUCUGAACACAGAGCACAUUGUCAGAAGCAAACAAGCAAUUUAGCCAUUAGAGCUCAUUGAGAAACUUUUUUUUUUUUUUUUGACAGGCAGAGUUAGACAGUGAGAGAAAGAGACAGAGAGAAAGGUCUUCCUUUCCGUUGGUUCACCCCACAAUAGCCGCUGCGGCUGGCGCACUGCGCUGAUCCGAAGCCAGGAGCCAGGUGCUUCUCCUGGUCUCCCAUGUGGGUGCAGGGCUCAAGCACUUGGGCCAUCCUCCACUGCACUCCCUGGCCACAGCAGAGAGCUGGCCUGGAAGAGGGGCAACUGGGUAGAAACAUUUAAGAAUGGAACUAGAGGGAUGCAAUAAAAUUUCUGGGAAAAAUAGUUUUUUCAAGUUUAUGAAAAGGGCAUUGCUUUAUCUCUUUCCCCUUGAAACUGACAGCUUAAUAGAUCUGAGCAGCUAGAGGCAAGCCAUGGUCUAAGGACUAUAAUUUGCUCUGCCCUGAGGCCUUCUGAUGUCCCACUACUCCAGGAAGAGGAAAGCAAGCCAAGGAAGAGAAUCUCUCCUCCUGUCGCAGAGGAGGACUGCCUAGAGGUGCCUGGAGGGCAGAGCACAGGGAGCAUUCAGUCUGCCCCUCCUAGCGUGGGGGCAGUAUAUGAUACAUUGUUUAGAAUUGCUGGUAUAUGGUGCUGAUAAACAGAUUGUGGGUAUUUUUAUUUUUACUCUUCGAUUCUUUUUUUUUUGGACAGGCAGAGUUAGACAGUGAGAGAGAGAGAGAGAGAGAGAAAGAGAAAGGUCUUCCUUCCAUUGGUUCACUCCCCAAAUGGCCACCACAGCCAGUGCGCUGCACCAAUCUGAAGCCAGGAGCUUCCUCCCGGUCUCCCAUGCGGGUGCAGGGCCCAAGCACUUAGGCCAUCCUCCACUGCCUUCCCGGGCCACAGCAGAGAGCUGGCCUGGAAGAGGAGCAACCGGGACAGAAUCCAGCACCCCGACCGGGACUAGAACCUGGGGUGCUGGCGCCGCAGGUGGAGGAUUAGCUUAGUGAGCCGCAGCGCAGGCCUACUCUUCAAUUCUUUAGACUUCUUUGGGUAUUCUUGGGGAAGAUCAUUAGUGGCCCCAUCAUUUGGCCCAAUAGGAAUGCUGCAGGCUAAGAGAGAAAUGUGUAUCAUAUGAAUGCACAUAUACACAACCAUGCACACACACACACACACACACACACACAGGGAAUGGGGAAGGAGAAGGAGAUUGAGACUAUCGUAACUAGCACAGGGUCUGGUGGAUGAUCUGGACUUUGAGCUGGACCCCUUUAUUUCGGCACUAUUUCUGCUUACUUCCGGAGGGGAGUGGGGUAAUGACUGGGAGUCCAGGGAAAGAAGGUGAACAAAGAGGAUUCUGAUCCCCUGAACCAUAGUAGGAGGAAGUCUCCACGUAUUGUUUGAUUACCAUGGCUCUCAGACAAAGUGUAGGCACUGAUUCGUUUUUCAUGUUUUCAGAGACAGAAUGCCAAAUUUACUGAAGUUUAUGGUGCUGAGAAUGUGCUUAGUCAACAGAGAGUACCUACAUCCUCUUUGGAUGAAACAGGCAUGUCAGGAAAGCAGUGUGGUACGUGGGCAAGGCUGCUAGGAGAGUAGCCAUUUGAAACUUGAGUGAAUCGAGCCACAAGUAUGCUUGUGUGUCAUCCCAACACCUGGCACAACACAUAUGACCAGGAUAAAUUGUGAAGUGCUAACAAUGUAUCAGAACUCCAACUCACAAAUUUCAAUUUUUAGAAAGCUGUUUAAGUUGAGCUAUCUCUAACAUAAGGUUUUCUUACAGUGAGUAAACCUAUACUGUGGGAGCAUUGGGCUUCACCAGUAAGUAAGUGAAGCAGAAGUAACACGCAUUCUUUGUAUUUUAGAGACGAUGUAGGAAAUUGUUCAAUGAUGACUAGGGAGGUAUUCUGCCCACUUUGUGGAAGUGUACCCACCCUGCAGUUAGCACACUUUAUAUCAGAAUCUCUGAACACCAGGUAUGGUGGCCUCACUAGUAUUCUGCCUUUAUUUUUAAGAAAAUUUGACUAAUUUAAUUCUGUCUUCCCACCUCCCAAAUGGAUGCAAUUGGAGACCAUUAUGCUUAAUGAAAUAAACCAGUCCCCAAAAGACAAAUAUCAUAUGUUUUCCCUGACUUGUGGUAACCAAUAUACAGAGUACAAAAAUUUUGUAAUAUAUUUGAGCAAAAUUGCCAUUUUCAGAUUUGAUUAUUGUUUAUAGUCCUUGUCUAUACUCCUGAGGGACAGUGUUUUUUCUACUUACUACUUGUUGAAUUCUUUAUUUAGUAGAGGAUUAAGUUUCUGCUUAUAAGCAAAUUAAAAGUGUGUCAUUGCAAAAAUUAAAAGAAAAAUAAGAAAGAAGAGAGAGUGCGAGUGAGAGAAGGAGGGUGGAGUGGGAAGUAUCAUUAUAUUCUUAAUACUGUAUAUAUGAAAUACAUGAAAUUUGUUCCCAUCAUAACAAGAGUGGCAAAAAUAUAUAAAUAAAUGUUCACUGAGUGCCUAUCAUGAGUCAGAUCCUAGGCCAAGAGCUGGACUAAUACAAAUGUAUCUCACAGAGGCACACAAUUAACUCUGUUAAGAGGUGAAAAUCUACCAGUGAAGUAAGAAAGAUAAAAGCAAAAGCCACUGGAUUUUUUUUUGACAGGCAGAGUGGAUAGUGAGAGAGAGACAGAGAGAAAGGUCUUCCUUUGCCGUUGGUUCACCCUCCAAUGGCCGCCGCGGCCGGCGUGCUGUGGCUGGCGCACCGUGCUGAUCCGAUGGCAGGAGCCACGUACUUAUUCUGGUCUCCAUGGGUUGCAGGGCCCAAGCACUUGGGCCAUCCUCCACUGCACUCCCUGGCCAUAGCAGAGAGCCGGCCUGGAAGAGGGGCAACCGGGACAGAAUCCGGCGCCCCGUCCGGGACUAGAACCUGGUGUGCUGGCGCCGCUAGGCGGAGGAUUAGCCUAGUGAGCCGUGGCGCCAGCCAAAGCCACUGGAUUAAGGGUAUGUGUGCACUGGGUAGAGACAUGGAUUCCUUCCUGGUCUGGGUAAUUUAUUUGACCCCUCUAUGGUCACUUUUAUUAAUAUGCAAGUAAGUAUAAUGAAUUUUGUAAAGUUUAAGUGCUUGAAAUAUCAGCUCAUAAGAAAAUGCUUUCUCACCCUUAUAUCCUCCCCUCCCAUACUACAAACUGAUUAUAGCCAGGGCCUAAGUCUUGCUUGUCACUGCAUCCCAUACAGUAGCUGUUCUAGUGCUCUGCUUAAAUCAUAUUCAAUACCCAUACAGAGACUUGAGUGAAUAGUUCAUUGAUUGGGUUAGGAAAAUAUCAGAAAUGACAAAAAAAAAUUAAAAAGAAAAAAGGGAAGAGUUGAUUUAAACACUCUUGGUGAAAGACAAAUAAACAAGGUACAUAGGCCCAGUGGAGGCAUUUAAGCAGCUGGAAGAAGAAAUUCAAUGGGAGUACAAGACAAGUAUUGGUUAUCAACAUGAAAUGCUGCUCUUUGCUUCUCCCCUGUCAGUUUUCGGCCAGCUGGUACUACUGCAAGCACACUAAUAACAUGCAAUCAGAAACCAGAUUUUAUAGAGGUUCUACAACUUGAGGUGUGGAUGUUACCACAUUUUUCAGGGGGUGCUCCACACCUUUCUUAAUCCUGACUGCUUUCUCUUGAGGUACCACAUGAGUCCAAGUCUUUAGUGAAGUCUCCUAAUGUCACCAAAUGAUCAAAAUGAAAGAAUUGGCAAAAACUGAAUCUUUAGCCCAACAGUAACUGUUAUUUCUUUUUUAAAAAUGUGGCACCAAAUAGUUAAUCUGGGUGAUUUUAUCUGGAGAAUAAACUCAUUAUAGAAUAAGUAUUUAAUAGACCUAUUACUUCAGUGCUGGGUAGACCCACUGGAAGAGAAUAUUAUCUUUCUUAGUAAAUAUUACAACCAUCACCAAACCCAUACCAGCCUGGAUUAUCCACACCAAUGUUGUGAAAAACCAACCAAAGCGUCUCUAGACAGAAAGGCAGAUGCUGGUGAAUCUUUCUCAUUUGACCAGUGGUAUAAGUGAGGUCAACAUUUAACCCUCUCCAAUUGCAUCUUUAAGAAUGUAUGUAAGCUGAUGAAAAAAAAAUUGUCUUACUGAUUGAUGAGACUGGAAGCUUAUAUCAACUUCUUUUUAAUUUUUUUUCAGCAUUUAACAUCCAUUUGGUCUGCAGUUCUGCCCAAACUGCUCUAACCCUCACCAAGUGGCUGAAUCCGAAUAUUGAAAUAACUCCUUUCCAUCCUCCCUGCAACACUCUUUUAUCCUAGUUCCAGCCUUGAGACUGCUCACUUCCACCUGCCAUCCAUUUAGCAGUCCCUUUGUCCAGCUGUCUUGAAUUAUUUAUGUAUUUGCAUUCCUGACCAGAAUAUAAAUUCUUUAGAGAGCAGAGAUCACAUCUCAUUCACCUUUAUAUUCCCUAAUUGCCCUUUGCACAGAGAUUUUGAGAUAUGAUAAGGUUUUUCUAAAUAAAUAUUCAAUACAAUAGGCCAAGUCACUUACCGGGAAUGAGAAUCAGAUUCCCAAUUACAUACAAGAGCAUUCACUGUCAACUAUUUUGCCAUUCUAAAAUUAAUCCUAAUUCAAGUUUGGCUAUUGUAAUUUGAAAAACACUCAAAAGAGAAAUGUAUCUGAAAUUAUAUACAUAUUGGGUAUAUCUCUAUGUAUCCCAUAUUGUUGAAUAUGACUUCCUGGUUCAGAGCCCUUAUUUUCGUGUUAAUUUUAAAGGAAAGGGUUUUCUAAAAUGAUUUAUUUAUUUGAAAGAGAAUGGAGACAGCAAAGAGAGAGAGAGAGAGAGAGAGAGAGAAUAUCUUUCAUCUACUGGUUCACUGCCCAAAUGACCAUAAUGGCCAGGGCUUGACCAUGUCAAAAUCAGGAGCCAGGAGCUUCACCCAGGUCUGUCACAUAUGUCCAGGGGCCCAAGCACUGGGACCAUCUUCUGCUGCUUUUCCAUGCCAAUAGGAGGAAGCUGGAUCAGAAAAAGAGCAUCUGGGACAUGAAUUGGGACCCACAAGGAUGCUGGUGUUGCAGGCAGCAGCUUAAUACACUGUACCACAAUGCCAGCCCCAAGGAGAGACUUCUUGAAAAAGAAUUAGACAUUGCAAUCUGUAUUAACAAGAUAACAUUAAACUGCUAUAAGCAUGUUUCAUUAGAUAGAAGUAAAUCCCUAAUCAGUUUAAAACUGUAACAUGUUAAACAAAUUAUAAUAUUUGUAUUGUCAGAUAAUACCAUACUACAGAAAAAUUAUCCGUGUUAGCCAGAUAAAAGUACUGCAUAUAUUACUCAAUUUCAGGGAUUUAAUAUACAAGAGUUAAAAAGCCCCUGAGCAUCACCAAGUGCAGGAAUCAGAAGCUUAUUGGCCAGGCCAGCAAGCUGAAUGGGUGUGGGUGAGGGGAGUGCAAGGCACAGGGAAGGCCUCCUUCUUUACUGGGAGCAGCUGGGUGCUGCACAGAGAUGGAGGCUGGAUGUUAUCAUGGAAGAAGAGAAGCUGCAAGUCUAAAAGGCACAAAUCUUGAAAUUUGUGGGAAACCUCUAGAGUUUAAAUGGCUGCAUUUUUUUUUUUGGUUUGUUUUGCUUUACUUUUGUAAAAAUCGAGUGUAAGCCACAGAAAACCUAUCUGCAGGACAGAUUUAGCUCCAUAAUCUUUUGUUCCUCGAUGAACCACACAAUCAUCUGCAUGAUCUGUAAGGCACCUGCUGACCUUGACACUGGACUCCAUUGCCUAGGACAUAAUUCAUUUAACCAGUUAAUUUAGUUCGUAAGAAUUCAUUUAUACUUCCUUCCAGAUGUUGCUCAUUUUACUCUGAUUAAAAUCAUCAAGUCAUUAUAAUACAUUGUAAGGUUUGUUUGAAAAAAAUAAGAAAGUAAAAAAAUAAUUGAGAGGAGUUGGCACUGUGGCGCCACCUGCAGUGCCGGCAUCCCAUAUGGGCGCUGGUUCAAGAACCGACUGCUCCUCUUCUGCUCCAGCUCUCUGCUGUGACCUGGGAAAGCAGUAGAAGAUGGCCCAAGUGCUUGGGCCCCUGCACCCACGUGGGAGACCUGGAAGAAGCUUCUUGCUCCUGGCUUCAGAUCAGAGCAGCUCCAGCUAUUGCAGACAACUGAAGGGUGAAACAGCAGACGGAAGACCUUUCUCUCUCUCUCUCUCUCUCUGUAUAACUAUUUGAAAUAAAAUAAAUAAACUUUAAAAAAAUAAUUGAGAAAAAACUCUUGGGAUUCACCAUGUAGAAACUGCCAAAUUUCAAGCACCUCUCUGGAAUCACUCACACAUUUUCAUCUCAAUAUUUUGUGCUUUCCAAGGCUAGAUCCAUUUGUUGGGAAUGUUAAAUGACAUUUUAAAAACAAAAAAUCCAAGUUGAAAUUCUUUAUUUAGGUUUCAUAUUUUCUUUGGGUCUUUGACAGAAAUGUCACAAUUAUACUUGUGCAGUUGGAAAUGGUAUCUGGUAGCUUUAGUACAAGAAUCACUAAUUUAUUGGGACUCUGAUACAUUCACUUCUCCAUACUUAGAUUAAGAAGACUAUUUCUAAAAACAGAUGUCAACCAGCAAUUUGUGUCCUUAGAUGCAAUUACAUUUUAAAGCCACCCUGGAGCCAGUGCCAUGACGCAAUGGGUUAAUCCUCUGCCUGAGGCACCAGCAUCCCAUAUGGGUGCCGAUUCUAGUCCCGGCUGCUCCUCUUCCAAUCCAUAGCCCUCUGCUCUGUCCUGGGAAAGCAGUAGAAGAUGGCCCAAAUCCUUGGGCCCUUGCACCUGCGUGGAAGACUGGGCAGAAGCACCUGGCUCCUGGCUUCGGAUCGGCACAGCUCCGGCUAUUGAGGCCAUUUGGGGAGUGAACUGACAGAAGGAAGACCUUUCUAUUUGUCUCUUCUGUCUACUAUCUGUAACUCUAUCUUUCAAAUAAAUAAAUAAAUAAAUCUUUUUUUAAACAAAGCCACCCUAACAUGUCCUAUUUUGGUUACUGGCUUAUUGUUUUACACACACACACACACACAUACAUAAUAGGAAGAAUUUCCUCUGAUGUCUUAGGAAGUUCAAAUUCCAGAGUUCAGAAAAGAAACUCUGAGCAUAGAUUUAAUAGCAUAAAUUAAUUUAGGUGUUAUGCAUGAUUUGACCAGUCAAGUUAGUUGGAAAAAUAGAUGUAAAACAAAUCCUCAAUCUUCCUUCAGAUUGUUAAAGACUUAACUUCCUGACUUCUCUCCACAACGUAACAGCCUCUCAGAACAUAUCAACCCUUUCCACACCUUUCUAUUAAGUUGACAUAAUUAAGUAAUAACUUGGCGUUCUUUCAGUAAGUAGUCUCAGGGUGCCUGCUAUGUGGAGUGCUCUGUACUAGGCAGUGGGAAGAAGGGGUUAGAUGUCACGCGUGUCCUCAAGCACCUUAGAGAGAAAGGGAAGAUUUCUGGAAUGAAAUGGAAGGUUCCUGGUGCUCUAUACCCUUCUUAAUCAAAACACCUGUGUCAUGCUUGACUAUAAAGAAGACAGGCCACGACCGACCUUGUCUUUACAUAGAACAUAAAAUGUCUCACAAAAUAGGACAAAUUAAACUCUAAUAUACAUAAAAUUAAAUAACAAAGGCAUUUUCAAGUCUCCAAAGAAACUGAGGAAUUUACCAGAGUUUCUUUGUUAUCUUUCAGCUUUAUCUCUUGUCAUUACCUCCUUACUUUUUAUAUUCUGUCAAAAAAGAACUGCUCAUGGUGCUCUCUAUGCUAACCAUUCCACACCUUGGUGUCUUUCCUUGGUGUCUCUCUACCUGGAACCACAGUGUGUCUACCAGGCAAUUCUUGUUCAUCUUUUCAAAGCCCCCUGAAUCAGCUGUCUCCUGUAUACCACUUCAAAAUCUCUCAGCCCCACCUGUCUCAUUGUAAUUAGUGCAGUGGUUCUGUGCAGGCUUUGACCAGCUUCCUGCAGGUGCAUUCCACCAGUGGCACGCCCCCACCAUAUGCCUCUCACUUUCCAUACUCAGUGCCCACAUAUGCAAGAUGCAGAAGUUAAUGAUCUGAGGGACAAACCUUGGGCAAUUGUAGGAUGGUUUGUCCUGCUUCUUGGAAGGAUCUUCUAAGGAAAAAAGAAAGGAAAUGAAGGGACAAAAUAAAGGAAGCAGGAGGAAAGAAGGGAGAAGGGGAGAAGGACAGAAAAUGAUAUGAACAUGAAUAACUUAAUAAGUCAAGCCAAGGCAUAUAAAUGCUAUCAGAAAGAGAUAAAUUCAGAAUGUAAACUGAGGAUACAAAAAUAAGUCAGAGUUGGGGCCAGUGGUAUGGUACAGCAGGUUAAGCUGCCACCUGCAGCGUCUACCCAUAUGGCUGCCGAAUCCAGUCCCUGCUGUUCCACUUCUGAUUCAGCUCCCUGCUCAUGUGCUUGGGAGAGCAGCAGGAGAUGAAACCCAUGUGGGAGACCCUGAUGUAAUUACAUAUUAUUUUAUUUUUUAAAGAUUUAUUUAUUUAUUAUUUGAAAGGCAGAGUUUAGAGAUAGGCAGAGGCAGAAGCAGAGAGAGAGAGAGAGAGAGAGCGAGAGCCUUCCAUCUGCUGGUCCACUCCCCAGAUGACUGCAAUGGCCUGAGCUGCGCCGAUCCGAAGCCAGGAGCCAGGAGCUUCUUCUGGGUCUCCCACAAGGAUGCAGGGGCCCAAGGAUUUGGGCCAUCUUCUACUGUUUUCCCAGGCUAUAGCAGAGAGCUAGAUUGGAAGUGGAGCAGCUGGGUCUCGAACCCGUGCCCAUAUGGGAUGCUGGCGCUUCAGGCAGUGGCUUUACCUGCAAAUACAUUUUAAAAUCAUAUUAACAUGUUCAAUCUUGAUUACUGCUUAUUGUUAAAUACACACACACACACACACACACGUGUAACAGGAAGAACUUUCUCUGAUGCCUUGGGAAGUUCAUAUGUCAGAGUCCAGAAAAGAAACUCUGAGUCUAGGUCUAAGAGUAUAAAUUAGUUUAGGGUUAUGCAUGAUUUGACUGGUUUGAGAAAUAGUUGUAAAACAAAAUUCCUCAAUCUUCCCCUGGCUCCUGGCUUCCAACUGGCCCAGUCCUGGCUGUUGAGGCCACUUGGGGAGUGAACAAGCGGAUGGUAGAUCCUUCUCUCUUUGUCUGUCUCACCCUCUCUCUGUAAUUCAGCCUUGCGAAUAACUAAAUAAAUCUUUAAAAUAAAAAUAAAAAAUUCAGAGUGAACAUGUGAAUCUAAUAAGAUAACAGAUAUGAGUAAAACAUCCUAGUAAAAUAAGAGUAGCAAUUGGUAAAUACUGAUGACUGGAUGGAUACUCGAAGUUUAAGAGAAAACGUACUCUCCCAUUGUGUGAAUACAUCUGGUCUGGCCAAAGGGUCAGAGAACAGAUAGGGAUAGGCAGGUAUCGGUUCUCAAGUUUUGCAGAGUGGAAAUGUUUCGCUGACCUCUUUGGGAGUUGUGUCGAGGAUGACACAGUGACAGAAGUUUAGGAGCCAGCCACUGGAGCAAGGGCAUUUGCAGGACUUGUUUCCAAUCCUGUCUCAAGGGUUAUUGCAGUUCUGUAAAGGAGGCUAAGUCCACAGUGGCCAGCAACUCAAUAUAAAUUCAAAUGCUUUCAUUGUACUGGAAAAAAAUUCUUCUUGCAUUUUCAAGGUUUUGAUUUUGUAUUUACAUAGAAGACACCAGUGUUUAAGCUGUGAGCAUCUACAGUGAGUGAAAAAGCUGUGAAUUUUUUUAGUGAUAAAUAUCCAACAGAUGGAGAAGUCUCUGGCAGUGAUUCUCAAACUUGUCGACAUAAUAAGUAGCAACAAGGAGCUUAUUAAAAUGCAGAUUUCUGAGCACUAACCUAGACCUUCUAAAUCAGAAUUCCAGGGGUUUGACCCAGGAAUAUCCAUUUUUAAUAUGUACAUAAUGUUACUGUGAUAUAAUCCUAAAUCCUUGGAAGUGUGAAAACACUGGCUUGAAUAAAAAGGUGUAAUGACUAUCAGUCAAUCAAACGUGUAUGUGUGUGUGUGUGUGUGUGUGUAUAGUCUGUUAAAAAUAAAUACAUACAAAGACCAACAUAUAAUCACUUUUACUAUCCAUCACAUUAGUCCAGUAAGUGAAAUACUUAGGUUUCCAAUGACAGGAAAUAUCUUUUCUGAUUCUAGCAUUAAAGAGUGGCUAUUCAUUUUGACAUAUUAUCUAAUGGAAUGAAAAACUGAAAAAAAGCCAUUCAUUUUAAACAAAAACUUAUCAUUGUUGCAAAAGAAAAAAAAUUUAAAAGCUCACAUGUGAAGCAUAAGAUAUUUGUUUAUUUUCACUCCACGGUUUGAUAAUUUAACUACAAAAGUUCUUUUUUUUCUGUGUGUAUUCACAUGUCCCCAAACUCCCCAGUGUGGGAGACCGCUGUUUUAACACCCAAAUCACACAGUGAAGGGGCUCCAUUACAUUUCUAUGAGAAGUCGAGACCGUAACAAGCCUGCUCUUUCCAGAGGCUCCUGGGAGUGGUUAGGUGUCCCACCCCAGCCAGAUUGCUGCCAGCUGUCCAGUCCCUGCUUUGAAGCAAUGCUUCCUGUUAUCAUGAGAGCUGCUCAGGCUUUGGCUGUCUUUGUCGAGCCAACUGCAUCCAGACCAUGAUGUAUGCAGACGGUCUAUCAAGAAGUGAGAGCUGAGGCCACACUGUAGCACUUGGAUUUCACUGGAGGCUUGAUGAUAAUGGUAGGAAAGGAGCACAGAGAACAUAAACAUGGAUAUGCUGCUGUUGCAAAGACACCAGGGCCCCAGGACCCUCUUCAUUGAUCUAGUAAGGAACUUCCCAUCCAGCUGCCUGUGGUCUCACUGUUUACGGAUCAGCCAGGCUGCUUUGUGUCUCUGCAUUGUGCUGGGAUAGGGUGCGGACAGCUUUCUCCAGUGGGAACCCUCACGAUUAUACCCCCCCUUUUCAGAAUUCCAGCCCCAGUUCCUUAAAUCCCAGAAAGAAAAUACUUUCCCCCUUCUCUUAAUCAAAGUCUCAACACCUACAGUCAGUCUCACUCAAAAUGUAUGAUUUGCCAGGUUAACUGUCAUUGAGAAUAUUAUUUUCUUUAGGAGGGAAUUUUACCUCUACACACAUUGAUAUAUUCGUAGUCCUUUCAAAUUAGAGUAUAUUGGCCCACAAGAUAUCCUAUAAUUCUCAUCAGUAUAUAUAUGUUUAUUUAGUUUCAGCAUAAUUCUGAAAAUCUGGGCUAAUCAAUCUUGAAAAACACCAUCUGUAAGACUUUGGUCCUUUAGCAAUGUUAAGCAAAAUAUAUUUCCAGAUCAAAGACUAUUCUCCAGUAUCAUAGUGUGACUAGAAGUGGUUAACAUUCUAUCUCUUUUUGAGAUCUUAUCUUGAUCUACCCCAAUGCAGCAAUACUAUGUAAGCAUAAAUUACACUAAUGUAAUCUAGAAUAACCAAUAAUAACUAAAUAUUAAAUAACUAAAUAUUAAAUAACUAAAUAACUAAAGAUUAAUCCUACUAACAUUUACUAAACAGAAUUUUGACUUCUCAGUCUGAAGCUUCAGGACAUGGGUUACUGUUCUGUUCAUGAGAAGUCCUCCCCCAUCACAAUGAGCAAAUGUUUGUCCUUUCUACUGUACCUUCUCCACUUGAGGGGCUGGUGCUGGAGUACAGAUUAAACUGUCACUUGCGACACCAGCAUGGCAUAUCUGAGCCAUGAUUCAAGUCCUGGCUGCUCUGCUUCCUAUCCAGCUACCUGCUAAUGUGCUUGGGAAAGCACUGGAAAAUGGCCCAAAUACUUGGGCCCCUGCAUCCCAUGUGGGAAACCCAGAGGGAGUCCCAGGUUCCUGGUUGUGGCCAUUUGGGGAGUGAACUGGUGGAUGAAAGAUCUCCCCUGCUGUGUGUGUGUGUGUGUGAGAGAGACUCUGUCAUAGAAAUAGAUCGAUAAAUAUUAAAUACCUUUAAAAGGUUUUUCAUGUGCUCCCUCUCUUCAACUAAGGAGAUCAUAGCCCAGAAGUUGAAGCCUUCAUCCUUUGCAAGACAGAAAUGGUCAUCUUACAAAUAUCAUUUUCCUCCCUGUAGAAAGCUUCAAAACUGUUUCUCUACGAAUUUGUUAAACAUGAGUUAUUUAUUUACUUGGUUAGUUGCUUUGGAUUGAUGAUUUGGUGUAGUUUGGGAUAGCAAAUGCAUCCUAGAAGAGGUUUGAUUAUUCAAGCACACUUCUUUAAGCAACUGCCGCUUAUUCUCCUCUAUAGCUAAUCUUUUGUUGUCUCCAUUUUCCCAAUUGUUAAAUGACAAUAAGAUAAUUCUUGCAAGGAGUGCAUUAAUCUAUGUAAAGCACUAGUCAGUGCUAAGUACUUUUACUCUUGCUACUUAUCUUCAAUAAGAAAUUAUCUUAAUGCUGCGUAGGUGACAGCAAUUUGUUGAAAUCUGGUGAGAAAUAGCAUAAUAAUGCAUGAACCUGACGUGAAACACUAAUAAAAAUGUCAUGGCCCAUUCCAUACAGCUUGUGUAUUUGUAUUGGAGAUAUUUGUUGAAACUCUCAGGUGAUAUGUGGAGAGUGAUUUGACAUCUAAUUAAUGUGAUUAUUGCUGAUUAAUAAAGACAUUAUUUUGAAAGUUUUGUAAAUUUCCAUUCUUCAUGGAAAAAUUAGGAGUUUGAAAUAUUUCUUUUAUGUUUCAUUUCUUUUCUUUUAAAGAUUUAUUUCGUUAUUUGAAAGGCAGAGUUGCAGAGAGAGAGGAGAGACAUACACAGAGAGAUCUUCAAUCUACUGGUUCACUCCUCAGAUGGCGACAAUGACCAGGACUGGGCCAGUCCUAAGCCAGAGCCAAAAGCUUCUUCCGGGUCUUCCAUGUGGUUGGCAAGGGCCCAAGUACUUGGGCCAUCUUCCACUGCUUUCCUAGGCUCAUUAGCAGAGAGCUGGACCAGAAAUGGAGCAGCCCUGACUGGUCUUCCAUCUGCCUGUUCAUUCCCCAAUUGGCUGCAAUGGUCAGAGCUGCUCAGAUCUGAAGUCAGGAACCAGGAGCUUCUUCCAUGUCUCCCACGUGGGUGCAGGGGCCCAAGCAAUUGUGCCAUCUUCUACUGCUUUCCCAGGCCAUCAUCAGGGAGCUGGAUCAGAAGUGGAGCAGGUGGGACUUGAACCAGCAAUGCAGACGGCAGCUUUACCCACUACUCCACAGCGCCGGCCCCAGUGCUUCAUUUCUUAUGUCUCCAUUCCUCCCAUCUAUCUGUCUGUCUGUCUAUAUAUCUACCUAUGUUAGCAUUUAAUCUUGGAUAUUGUAGAAGCAGGGAAACAUAAGGUACAACAAUACUGACGCUACUAGAGCUAUGGUCUUGCUACCCACAGCUGACUUAUUUCAAUUUUUUAACUACCUUUAUAAUAACUACUUGAGGUGAAUAUAUCCAAGGCAUUCUUUACUAUUUUAGUCUAAAUCUAUUUUUAAAUCCCCCAUUUGUAUCUAUGUUAUAUUCAGUAAAAUGGAUUUAUUGAGUAAAUGUACAGUUUGGGCAGGUAGGCUUUUGUUGUUCAAAUAGUUCCUAAAGGAAAUUAAUUUGAGUUUAGGAAGUAAAUUAAAUGAAGUGGAUAGAAGACAGAAGAAUAACUCACCUGCAAUAUGACUUUCUCAUCAGCAGAAGUUUUUCUAAUUAUAUAAUGUUAUCACUAAAAAGGAUGUAUGUCUUGCACUUGUGCAUUCGUUCUCACUCACAAUUCAGAAAACAAAGAGUGCACUACUGCUUCUAUAUAAAAAGGAGUAGCUUUCAUCAGACUACACUCCUGCUGAAAACAACUAUAAAAGCUGAGUAAAAUACACAGUGCAGAUGUUCAAACUCAGCAGGGAGAAAGCAAAGAGCAAUGACGUGAGGGGUCAUGAUAAUGGAGAAAAGGGAACUUUAGAGAAGCAAGCUCAACAUUCUAUGCAACAUUCCAUGGAGGCAUUUGCUAUUCCUAACGUGUGUGUGUGUGUAUGUGAAGAAAAAGGCAAAACACAAAGCAGUUGUUCAAAGGCUAAAAUGCUAAGCAAAGCUUUUGGCAGUCUUACUGGGUUGGGUGUGCUAUGGACGGAAUGUUUGUGUACCUCUCAAAUUCAUAUGUUGAAUCCAAAACUUCUUGUCUUGGAAAAUGGGGGCUGUAAGAAGUAACACAAAGGGACUGGUGCUGUGGUAUAGCAGGUAAAGACGCUGCCUGCGGUGCCGGCAUUCCAAAUGGGCACCAGUUCUAGUCCUGGCUGUUCCACUUCCGAUCCAGCUCUCUGCUAUGGCCUGGGAAAGCAGUAGAAGGUGGCCCAAGUCCUUCAAUCCCUGCACCUGCAUAGGAGACCAUGAAGAAUCUCCUGGCUCCUGGCUUCAGAUCGGCGCAGCUCUGGCCGUUGCAACCAUCUGGGGAGUGAACCAGUGGAUGGAAGAUCUCUCUGCCUCUCCUUAUCUCUCUGUGCAACUCUUUCAAAUCAAUAAAUAAAUCUUAAAAAAAGUAAUACUACGAGAUAAGGUCGUGGAAGUGGGUCCUUCAUGAUGGGAUUAGUGACCUCAUAAGAAAAGGAAGCAAGAAGUCAGUGUCUGCAUUCAUGCCUCAAGGAAAUACCGUGACGCAGAGCAAGAAGGUGACCAUUUGCAAGCUGAGAAGAGAGCCAUCAUCAGAACUCGCCCAUGUUGGCCCAUGUUGGCCCCUGAUCUCGGACUUCCAGACUCCAGAACAGCCACCAAUUUAUGAUAUUCCAUGCGCAAUGAGUGAUGGAUUAUGUCCCAGUAUAAAGACAAACUAAGAAUGAACAGAUUUUCAAAACACCUGGAACACACCUUAAAACAUCUGAACCUCAGAUUGGGAGACACAGAUUGAUUGUAGCGUGCCCAGCCUCUCUGCCCAUUCCCCUACAGUUUCUUCUGCUCCCCGCGUGGAGCUUCAAACUCAGUUAACCAAGUUUCUCCUCCCUCCACUGUCUGUAGCUUCAUGGAUUUGCAACAACCUCUCACCUGGCUCGCUGGGGGUGGUGGGGAGAGGGUUGGUGCCAAUCUCCUUUUUUGGUCCCUCUGCUGCUCCUUCGUUUCAUGUCUGCCCCUUCUCCCUCCAAUUUCUCCCCCAGUAUGGAUCUGAGCAGUCUCUGGUGGACUCCUGGGCCAUUCUCCAUGAACUUUUUGCAAUUCCGCUGCCAGCUUGUAUCCCCCCUGCUCACUAUUUUUCGCUGCAUGACUCAGAACAUCCUGCUGCUAUACCGCCAUCUUGGCCCCUCCUGCAAAUGCGUUUGUAAUGGUCACAUCUCGUUGAAUUGAUCCCUUCAUCAUUACAUGGUGCCCUUCUUUGUCUCUUUUAAUAGUUUUUGUGUUAAAGUCUAUUUUGUCUGAUAGUAGGAUGGCUACAUCAACUUUCUUUUGGUUUCUAUUGGCAUGGAUUAUCUUUUUCCAUCCUUUCACUUUCAGUCUGUGUGUGUCUUUGUUGGUAAGAUGUUUUUCUUGUAGGCAGCAGAUGGGUUUUCUUUUUCAAUCCAUUCAACCAGUCUGUGCCUUUUAAAUGGAGAAUUGAGGCCAUUUACAUUCAGAGUGACUAUUAUUAAGUAACGACUUUGCCCUGCCGUAUUUCCAUUAAUAGUCCUAUUUUUUAUUUUGGAUUUUCUUUGUACUUUUACUGGGCAAUUUUCUGCCUUCACCUUUCGUAGUGAUGUCUCUGUUUCUGUGUUUUUGUGUACACCACAUCCUUGAGCAUCUCUUUUAGGGCUGGACAGGUAGUGAUAAAUUAUUUCAAUUUCUGUUUGUUAUGCAAAAUCUUUAUUUCACCUUCAUUCAUAAAUGAGAGCUUUUCAGGGUACAGUGUUCUGGUUUGACAAAUUUUUUUUCUCUUAAGACUUGGAAUAUAUUGCCAUUCUCUUCCAGCCUGUAUGGUUCCUGAUGAGAUGGCUGCUGUGAGUCACCUGGGGUUCCUCUGAAUGUAAUCUGGCACUUCUCUCACGCACAUUUUAGAAUCUUUUCUCUAUGCUUUAUUUACUGUGGAGAGUUUUACUACAAUGUGUCAGAAGAUCUUUUCUGGUCAUGUGUACUAGGAGUUCCUUGUGCUUCCUGUACUUGGAUGUCCCUUUCUCCAAAUUGGGGAAGUUUUCUGUUAUUAUUUCACUAAAAGGACCUUCUAAUCCUUUCUCUCUUUCCACUCCUUCAGGAACUCCUAGGACCCAUAUGUUGGGUCAUUUGAUAGUAUCUUGUAGAUCUCCAAUAGUGCUUUUCAGUUUUCUAAAUUUUUUUCUUCUGGUUUUUGUUCUGACUGUAAAUUCCAGAUAUUUGUGUUCUAGUUCAGAUAUUCUUUCUUCUGCCUCACCUACUCUGUUGUUAAGACUUUCCACUACAGGUUUUAUUUAAUCUAUUGAAUUCUUCAUUUCUAAUAUUUCAUUUUGAUUUCUCUUUAAUAUCUCAAUUUCAUGGGAACGUUUUUCAUUUUUGUGAAUU